rnacentral:tRNA from 1 species
GCGGGAGUAUUUCAACUCUUAGAAUACAGAUCUUCCUGAUCUGAGAUGUAGGUGUAAGUCCUACCUUCCGCUCCA